rnacentral:rRNA from 1 species
AGAGUUUGAUCCUGGCUCAGAAUCAACGCUGGCGGCGCGCUUAACACAUGCAAGUCGCACGAGAAAGCGGGAGCAAUCUCGCAAGUACAGUGGCGUACGGGUGAGUAACACGUGGGUAAUCUACCUUUUAGUGGGGAAUAACGCUGGGAAACCGGCGCUAAUACCGCAUAAUCUCGAGAGAGGAAAGCAGCAAUGCGCUGAAAGAGGAACCCGCGGCCGAUUAGCUAGUUGGGAGGGUAAAAGCCUACCAAGGCAAAGAUCGGUAGCCGGCCUGAGAGGGCACACGGCCACACUGGCACUGAAACACGGGCCAGACUCCUACGGGAGGCAGCAGUGGGGAAUCUUGCACAAUGGGGGAAACCCUGAUGCAGCGACGCCGCGUGAGCGAUGAAGCCCUUCGGGGUGUAAAGCUCUUUCGGCAGGGACGAUAAUGACGGUACCUGCAGAAGCAGCUGCGGCUAACUACGUGCCAGCAGCCGCGGUAAUACGUAGGCAGCGAGCGUUGUUCGGAGUUACUGGGCGUAAAGGGUGUGUAGGCGGUUUUCUAAGU